rnacentral:rRNA from 1 species
GGUAUCGCCGUUAGUCAUGUGCAAAUAUGGAUAGCUGUUUUAGCUGUCUUUAUUGACUGGUUUAUAAGAGUUAUCAGAUAUCACUUUGAUUAAAUUAGAGUGCUUAAAGCAAGUGUGUUACUUGGAUAUAAAUGCAUGGAAUGAUGGAAUAUGUUGUUAUUCUAUUUGUUGGUUUUUGAAUGAUAAAAUGAUUGAAAGGAACUGUUGGGGGCAUUCGUAUUGUUGUGAGAGAGGUGAAAUUCUUAGACCACAGCAAGACGAACUACUGCGAAAGCAUUUGCCAAGAAUGUUUUCAUUGAUCAAGAACGAAAGUUAGAGGUUCGAAGGCGAUCAGAUACCGCCCUAGUUCUAACCAUAAACUAUGCCAACUAGCAAUUUGCUUUGUAUUUUUUAUGACUAAGUGAGAGGCCACGGGAAACCUAAGUAGGGUUAUGGGGGAAGUAUGGUUGCAAAGCUGAAACUUAAAGGAAUUGACGGAAGGGCACCACCAGGAGUGGAGCCUGCGGCUUAAUUUGACUCAACACGGGAAAACUUACCUGGUCCUGACACUAGAAGGAUUGACAGAUUGAUAGCUCUUUCUUGAUUUGGUGGAUGGUGGUGCAUGGCCGUUCUUAGUUGGUGGAGUGAUUUGUCUGGUUAAUUCCGAUAACGAACGAGACUCUAGCCUAUUAAAUAAUACACGGAAUUUUAUCUUCCGCGGUAUUUCUUAGUGGAAUCAAGCG